rnacentral:rRNA from 1 species
ACUCCUACGGGAGGCAGCAGUGGGGAAUUUUGGACAAUGGGCGAAAGCCUGAUCCAGCAAUGCCGCGUGAGUGAAGAAGGCCUUCGGGUUGUAAAGCUCUUUUGUCAGGGAAGAAACGGUGAAAGCUAAUAUCUUUUGCUAAUGACGGUACCUGAAGAAUAAGCACCGGCUAACUACGUGCCAGCAGCCGCGGUAAUACGUAGGGUGCAAGCGUUAAUCGGAAUUACUGGGCGUAAAGCGUGCGCAGGCGGUUUUGUAAGUCUGAUGUGAAAUCCCCGGGCUCAACCUGGGAAUUGCAUUGGAGACUGCAAGGCUAGAAUCUGGCAGAGGGGGGUAGAAUUCCACGUGUAGCAGUGAAAUGCGUAGAUAUGUGGAGGAACACCGAUGGCGAAGGCAGCCCCCUGGGUCAAGAUUGACGCUCAUGCACGAAAGCGUGGGGAGCAAACAGGAUUAGAUACCCCAGUAGUCCCAUGA